UAGGGAAUCUUCCACAGUGGACGCAAGUCUGAUGGAGCAACGCCGCGUGAGUGAAGAAGGCUUUCGGGUCGUAAAACUCUGUUAUUGAAGAAGAACGUGCGUGACAGUAACUGGUCAUGCAGUGACGGUAUUCAAUCAGAAAGUCACGGCUAACUACGUGCCAGCAGCCGCGGUAAUACGUAGGUGGCAAGCGUUGUCCGGAUUUAUUGGGCGUAAAGCGAGUGCAGGCGGUCUUUUAAGUCUGAUGUGAAAGCCUUCGGCUUAACCGAAGAAGGGCAUCGGAAACUGGGAGACUUGAGUGCAGAAGAGGAGAGUGGAACUCCAUGUGUAGCGGUGAAAUGCGUAGAUAUAUGGAAGAACACCAGUGGCGAAGGCGGCUCUCUGGUCUGUAACUGACGCUGAGGCUCGAAAGCGUGGGUAGCAAACAGGAUUAGAUACCCUGGUAGUCC
rnacentral:rRNA from 1 species